UCUAGGUGGUUUUCGCGUAUAAUUUUAAUCAUCCGUCUUAUUUGAUUUUAUUUAUAAUUAGUAUUUUUAUUGUUAUAAGAUAAUAAAACAUGAAUAGUACUUUAUGCGAGAUUUAUGUUUUUAAUUUUUUUUAAAAAAAAAUAAAUAAGACGAAUAGCUAAAAUUGGAUACUGAAAAUCAUGGCUGCUCUUAAA
rfam:Oryza glumipatula chromosome 11, whole genome shotgun sequence.